UGCAGAAAUCCAGGUCGCAGAGGUAUUUGAUUAGUUGACUGCUGUCAACGUAUAUAUUUUAAUUAAUCAGAAUCCUCUCUUGCUACAUGAAAUAAGUGCUCUGUAUGUCCAUAUGUUUAGGUUCUCAAUUAAUUUGGUUACUCUUAGCCUCCGUCUAAUGUUAAGUAACUUUGAACUUGCACCCUUUAAAAAAGGGGAGCAGACCUGAUUUAUAAAUAUCUAGACAGAACUAUUUCCGAGGUCUG
rnacentral:misc_RNA from 1 species